rnacentral:rRNA from 1 species
CGCAUACACAUGCAAGUCGAGCGAGGGCUUACUUCCCGCAAGGGAGGUGAGUUCCUAACGGCGAACGGGUGAGUAACACGUGAGCAACCUUUCCUAUCGCGGGGGAUAACACCGGGAAACC